AAGUCGUAACAAGGUUUCCGUAGGUGAACCUGCGGAAGGAUCAUUAACAAAUCUACUUAACACAUCCUGUGUAAACGUCUGUUCCUGGGGUGGAAAUGGUGUGUGUGUGUGUGUGAGAUGUGAAAGAAAGGGCUACUAAUGGGGAGGAGCGGCCUGAGUAUGACGUAUGUGUCACACACAACAAACAUAUAAAGUACACACCAGGACAAUUACAAUAACUAUUGUCAGAGCAUCAUAUAUUUAACAUAUGACAACUUUUAACAAUGGAUCUCUUGGCUCUU
rnacentral:misc_RNA from 1 species